ACACUAGCGGAGUCGGCAUUCAGAAAUCAACGUUCUAAUAGUUAACAACGUGCUUUGCUAGUGAGUUGAAGUUCUCGUGAAAAUGUACACAAAUCCUUUCAAUCGUAAACACUCUCAAAUCCGACAAGUGAUUGAUCGGUUUCUUCAUCCCGUUGCAAACAACAAUCGCCGUGUAAUGAAAGAAAAAAGUGGACUAAAUUCCUCAAAGUCCUCGCUUUCAUCGACGUCUUCGUUCAGAUUUCCUUUUGGAAGCCUAGAAAAACGUGGAAUAAAGUGAAUGUUGCAGCUGCAGAUAACGUAGCCAUUUGGAUAUGAUUAGAGAGAUAUAUCCGAAAAGGAACUGGGCUCUGCUGAAAAAUGUGCUGCACAUUCAUCUUAAAUUACCAUCGUGAUCACCAAAUGAAGAAACUAGGUUUCAUUACCAUAGCUGCAUCAUUCUGCGGUUAAUAGGAUCACUUAAAGACCUCUAGAUUGAAGAAAAAGCAUAUAUGCGUAUAGAAGUACCUACAAGUUUAAGUGUUAUAUUUAAUCAUCUCAGAAAAUAAAUCUAAACGUAUAAUUUUU